rnacentral:rRNA from 1 species
AUUGAACGCUGGCGGCAGGCUUAACACAUGCAAGUCGAGCGGGGUGAUGGUGCUUGCACUAUCACUUAGCGGCGGACGGGUGAGUAAUGCUUAGGAAUCUGCCUAUUAGUGGGGGACAACAUCUCGAAAGGGAUGCUAAUACCGCAUACGUCCUACGGGAGAAAGCAGGGGAUCACUUGUGACCUUGCGCUAAUAGAUGAGCCUAAGUGGGAUUAGCUAGUUGGUGGGGUAAAGGCCUACCAAGGCGACGAUCUGUAGCGGGUCUGAGAGGAUGAUCCGCCACACUGGGACUGAGACACGGCCCAGACUCCUACGGGAGGCAGCAGUGGGGAAUAUCGGACAAUGGGGGGAACCCUGAUCCAGCCAUGCCGCGUGUGUGAAGAAGGCCUUAUGGUUGUAAAGCACUUUAAGCGAGGAGGAGGCUCUUUUGGUUAAUACCCAAGAUGAGUGGACGUUACUCGCAGAAUAAGCACCGGCUAACUCUGUGCCAGCAGCCGCCGUAAAAC